rnacentral:snRNA from 1 species
GCUUGCUUUGGUAACACGUGUACUAAAAUUGGAACAGUAUUGAAAUUAACAUGGCCCCUGAACAAAGACAACACUCAAAUUUGUGAAGCAUUCCAUAUUUUU